UUCAGUCCCACUUGUGUUAAGGUCCAAAUAGCAAAUUGAUAUAAUGGGAAGAUUAGGAAUUGUGGUUGCAGUUGUUCUGCACAUCUGUCAAUGUGUUCACUGAGAUAUAUCUGGUGAUAUUGUGGG